CUUCGGGAAACCGGAGCUAAUACCGGAUAAUAUAUCGAACCGCAUGGUUCAAUAGUGAAAGACGGUUUUGCUGUCACUUAUAGAUGGAUCCGCGCCGCAUUAGCUAGUUGGUAAGGUAACGGCUUACCAAGGCAACGAUGCGUAGCCGACCUGAGAGGGUGAUCGGCCACACUGGAACUGAGACACGGUCCAG
rnacentral:rRNA from 1 species